UACGUAGGGUCCGAGCGUUGUCCGGAAUUACUGGGCGUAAAGAGCUCGUAGGUGGUUUGUCGCGUUGUCCGUGAAAACUCACAGCUCAACUGUGGGCGUGCGGGCGAUACGGGCAGACUGGAGUACUGCAGGGGAGACUGGAAUUCCUGGUGUAGCGGUGGAAUGCGCAGAUAUCAGGAGGAACACCGGUGGCGAAGGCGGGUCUCUGGGCAGUAACUGACGCUGAGGAGCGAAAGCGUGGGGAGCGAUCAGG
rnacentral:rRNA from 1 species